CCAUCUGACACGUGCCAGGGAGGAAAAACGUAGUGUUUCAUUAAAAGAUUUGUGCACUUCGGUUGGGCUUUUAUUUUUGUUGGGCUUUGCGGUUGCUUAAGACUUCCACACAAUUUGGAUGGGCUUUCCUGUGUUCUUCUUCUUCGCCUCUCCAGCACCCAAUGUCGAUUAGGUUUUCUCAAUAGCUCUUUCAUCUUCUUCCUCAGCGUACGAAACGAUACUAUCAAUAAAUAAUCAUCUUUAAAAAAAACCUCCAUUAAUCUCUCACACACGAUCUAUAAUCAAUGUGAUUUCUGGAUCUACAAGGCGGUGGAGGUUCAUCUAUAAAAAAGACGAGCCGCUCCACCUCCACUGUUCGAGUCCAGUUGCUCUCUUCUCGGUUCUCACUUCUCAGGGAGCUGGUGGACCAGAGGAGGAAGAUAGUUGAUAGCCGACAUGCCUGAAACCUCUGCUUAAAGAGCAGUUCUUUGUUCAGUGCAAGUUUCAUGUAGACUCACAAGGGUGAUUGCAAUAUGUAUUACUUAGACUGCACCAACGGUGAGCUUUGCUCUCUUUGUCUUGCCCACCAUAAAGGUCACCUCAUCAUCCAAUCCAAAUAGGUCAAUCUUUAGGUCUAUAUAGGUCUAUGUAUCAAUAGCCUGCCACAAUUCUUGGAUCCAUAACAAUUUUAUCCUUCAUCCAAUCAGUGAAUCUCCACUUAUAAAAAAGGGUGUUUGGAAAAGGUUAGUGGAGGAGAUGGUGGUGGUGGUAGCCAACAUCAUGACGGCACUGAAACUGAUAGGAAGAAGAAACGUUAUUAGCGUCACACUGCUUAAUGCGCAACAUGAGAGAGCAGAUAACAAUGCACUAAAGGCAGAGAACGACAAGAUUCGAUGUGAGAACAUAGCCAUUAGAGCAGCACUCAAGCAUGAUAUAUGCCCUAAUUGUGAAUAUCCUUACUUCGAUGAGCAUAAGCCCCGGAUCGAAAAUGCACAUCUUAGAGAUGGGGUUUUGUUUAUCGAUUAUGGUUGUUUAAUCAUUCAAGCCCCCUCCUCUUUUCUAAAUCUGAUAUUUAUUGCACAGCUUGAAAGAAAGUCAACGGUUGCAUCAAAGUACAUGGGAAGACCAAUCUCCUCCCACCUCUCAACGCUACAUCCAAUGCAAAUCUCACCGUUGGAUCUGUCCAUGACUGGUCCUUCACUGGAUUUUGAUCUUCUUCCAGGGAGUUCUAUGCAUUCUCAGUCUAAUAACUUGGCUACUAUAUCAGACAUGGACAAGCCUCUUAUGAACGACAUUGCUUUGACUGCGAUGGAAUAAUUGCUUAGGUGAUAGACUAUGGAUUUGACCCAUUUCCAUCCAUAGUUUAUAGGUGUUUUUACUAAUAAUUAUAUUAUUAUAGAGUCUAUUUAUUAUAUUUAUAAGAUUAUGAAUGUUUUGGAGAUAAGAAUGAUUUUGGAGCAUUUUGGAGAUAUUUGGAGUAAGCACCCGAGAUGACCAUCGAGAUCGACUAUCGGUCGAUAUUGGAGAGCUAGAAUCGAUCGAUACACAAGACAUGGUGUCGAUCGACAGCAAAGCGCGCAGGAAGCCUGUUUGGUCACAGCCGACUUGAAGCCCAAGAUUUCACUAUUUUACAAGAUUGCUCUUUACGAGUUUUUACCCUAAUUUUAUAAGUUUUGCCGCCAUGUUAGAGGCAAAAUGUAUUUUCUUUGUGUUUUAUUGUUUUAUUGAUAGAUAUGAGAUAAGAUCCAAAGUUAUAAUUUGUGAUUGGAAUUGAUAUCUAUUUUAUUAUUUUAUGAAGUUUUUAUACUUAA